rnacentral:rRNA from 1 species
GACGAACGCUGGCGGCGUGCUUAACACAUGCAAGUCGAACGGAAAGGCCCUGCUUGCAGGGUACUCGAGUGGCGAACGGGUGAGUAACACGUGGGUGAUCUGCCCUGCACUUCGGGAUAAGCCUGGGAAACUGGGUCUAAUACCGGAUAGGAGCCAUUUUUAGUGUGAUGGUUGGAAAGUUUUUUCGGUGUAGGAUGAGCUCGCGGCCUAUCAGCUUGUUGGUGGGGUAAUGGCCUACCAAGGCGGCGGCGGGUAGCCGGCCUGAGAGGGUGGACGGCCACAUUGGGACUGAGAUACGGCCCAGGCACCGACGGGAGGCAGCAGUGGGGAAGAUUGCACAAUGGGCGCAAGCCUGAUGCAGCGACGCCGCGUGGGGGAUGACGGCCUUCGGGUUGUAAACUACUUUCGCUAGGGACGAAGCUUUUUGUGACGGUACCUAGAUAAGAAGCACCGGCUAACUACGUG